CAUUUGUAUAAAUAUAUUUUAAAAUAUUAACUAUUGAUUUUUAACGAUGAUACAUUUUGAAAAUAUUCUUAAUUUUGUAUGUGAUGUGACGAAAUCUGCGUCCUCAAAACUCUGUAAUUUUCCCUCAGUACGAGCUGAAAUUUUCAGAGAAAGAGUGCCAUGUUUGAAACCGGAUGGAUCAGUGGGAGAAAUGGAAAUUUGUAAAGAUAUUGACUGUGGUCGCAGAGUUGAGUGUCCGGCAAACGAAGAUUCUGAAAGACAAACGCGGAUUCCUUUUUGCAUUUAU